GAUGAACGCUGGCGGCGUGCCUAAUACAUGCAAGUCGAGCGAAUGGAUUAAGAGCUUGCUCUUAUGAAGUUAGCGGCGGACGGGUGAGUAACACGUGGGUAACCUGCCCAUAAGACUGGGAUAACUCCGGGAAACCGGGGCUAAUACCGGAUAACAUUUUGAACCGCAUGGUUCGAAAUGGAAAGGCGGCUUCGGCUGUCACUGAUGGAUGGACCCGCGUCGCAUUAGCUAGUUGGUGAGGUAACGGCUCACCAAGGCGACGACGGGUAGCCGGCCUGAGAGGGUGGCCGGCCACACUGGGACUGAGACACGGCCCAGACUCCUACGGGAGGCAGCAGUGGGGAAUAUUGCACAAUGGGCGCAAGCCUGAUGCAGCAACGCCGCGUGAGGGAUGACGGCCUUCGGGUCGUAAAACUCUGUUGUUAGGGAAGAACAAGUGCUAGUUGAAUAAGCUGACACCUUGACGGUACCUAACCAGAAAGCCACGGCUAACUACGUGCCAGCCGCCGCGGUAA
rnacentral:rRNA from 1 species